UUUUUUUUUUUAUAUGCUUCUUUAUGAGUGCAUGUACAUUAUACUAUUUGUAAGCAGUGAACAAUUUUAUAGGGAAGACUUUAAUCAGUGAUGUGCCACCUCAAGAAAAGUUCACUCAGUGGCCCAAUCUUCCUGUUUUUGCUGGCCUCCUCACUCAAGUCUGCCUUGAGUUCUUCCCUCUGGUGAUUUUGCAAGAAAUGACACAGGCUCUCCUCCCUUCUCUCAUCCUGACUGAACGUUUCACCUCUGCAUUAGUGCAAGAAUCAUGACACCCAAUUCGGAGUGCCAUUAAUGUACAGAAAGAAAUGUAAGAAGAUAUUGGUUGGCUUUGAAUGGGGUGUAAA